GGGUAUCCUCAAGGUCACGGCGCAAUUCUCACAAUCGACUACCCGUUGUCUUGAGAGUCGCUUCACCGUUUUGUCUUUACCACGAGUCUCACUUCUCGUCCCACAAUCAUCACCAGCAUCUGCUAGCGCUAUCCAGCUCUCUCUACCUGCUCAAACAGGUGAUACGCUCCCACAAUGCAAGCAUGCCCGGGUAUCUAUGCUUACCCGUCCCUUUGGUCCCUACUAUAUUGAUAUAUCGAGGGUAGUAAAUGACCACAUGGCAUAUGCAUGCAUGCACCAACUUCACAUUCUAUAGAAGCCUAUGCUUGCUUCAAUCAACUCAUACCUGCCAUGGUAUCGUCGAUAACAGUAGGUUUCACAACCCGGUUCGCAUAUCCACGGCCUCUUGGCGGCCGCGGCGAACACUCCGGUUGUCACCUCCUCAUCACUCGUUCUCUAGACCACUCUGUAGACUUCACAUUCACAACUGUCUCGGAGAGGAAGAGGCUAUCACCUACAACACGACCCUGCAAUCGAUCGUACGCACGCCUAUCUCACCACGCCGGGCCCACUAUCGUGCCAGGUGAGAACUUACAAUCCCGCAUCAUAUAGAUGUUAACAGAAGACACUUCUAAGGUUCGGGAUUGCAUCCGUACUCAAGACAUGCACUGCCCAAAACUGGGCAAUUUGAAGCUACGGGGAACGGUCUCUCCCUGCCAGGGACCGGCCCCCGAGAGCAACUUCCAACAAGUGCAGGAUUUGCAUUAUUGGCUCUCGCGGACUCAAUUCCAAUGCACUCUUGGUGAUUUAGACAUCUUCGACUUCUCUGAAGCCCACACACUCGACAAUUAGACGAUUUCCGACGAAGUCAAAUCCUCGAAUUUCGAGAAUCCACUUUCCCUACAUACACAGCUUUAACAACGCUCGGCCGAAAUCUCCGCACAAGUAAUUCGGCCAUGUCCUCGUCAUCCCGCACUACGUGUAGGAUGCAUUUCACGACACGGGAGAACUCCCUCUCGUAUCGUCUCACGAUGCAGUUUACCUGCCACAGCUUCGGAAACUUAUCCUGAAGCUUUCCUCUCUCACCAUCGGGGAAGUAAACGGAGGAUACUAAUCCCCGAACUCAUCCCAGACCAUCGGAGGGAUACCAGGCAAUCAGUUUCGUCGAAUGCCUUUCCACCACACCUUUGCCGACUGCUUACUAGCAACGUACGGCUAGGUGUGCCCUGCCUCACGCUACAACGCACAGAUCCCCCAAAGGGAGUCUUGCUCUCGGUUCGUCACCAGCAACUUGCCGGCAUUGACUAAUCACCAAUCCUCUUUAGGUAGGCGACAUACCACCACGACUUAUGCAUGCUGGGGGGGGGGGUAACUACACUGACAUGCGUCCUGGUCUCUACUAUACUAACAUGUAAACAGUAGCAAAAGACCACAAGCAAUUGUAUGCAAUUGCUCAAACUACUUCAUGCUAGAAUGUAUGAUUGCUUUAAUUAAAUCAUACUUGCGGUAACAUCACCAACAGCAGCAGGUUCCUCGACUUGAGCAGCAUAUCCAGGGCCGCUUGGCGCCUCCUGUGAAUCCUCCGGCUGCUCAACCACCCUCAGCCCUCCAGACUGUGCCACAGGCUGCACAUCCACCAUCUGUCCCGAAGAGGUGAAUGUCGACGCUGUCGGCGGGAGUCGUCCAUCGUCCAAGGGGCAAUCACACUUCACGUGGCCAGACUGCCCACAACGAAAACACCUUCCCUUUCGCAGCACACACCGCCGCGCCUGGUGGGAUCCACCACAAAUCACACACCCCGCAGAUACGGCGGUAGCAGACGAAA
rnacentral:lncRNA from 1 species